UCACAUAAGUAUAUCUUUCUUGACAGAGGAUGAAAACAAUCAGGCUAGAGAUCAAAUUAAAAAGCAUGGAAAGCUACAUACAGAGAAAACAUUUUUCAUUUAGCCAGUUCACAAACAAAACUUCUUUUUGCAGGAACGGUACCAGGGCAAGAGAAAGAGAAGUUAUAUCAUGCAACAAGUUUAUGAAGCUGAAAAAACACCAAUUCCAUCAUUGGUAGCAUCCUGGUGAAAUACUUAUCACAUAAAACACAAAAAGGUUCUCCUUGCAAUCACUGUUAAUAUGCUAAGCAGCCAAAAACUAGAGCUAAAAAAACACCAAUUCCAUCAUUGGUAGCAUCCUGGUGAAAUACUUAUCACAUAAAACACAAAAAGGUUCUCCUUGCAAUCACUGUUAAUAUGCUAAGCAGCCAAAAACUAGAGCUAACAUGACGAAUAUUAGAGAUAUAAAUGCACCAAGUUAAGCAUUUCAUGAAAAGAAAACACUUAGGAAAGAAAAACUGCGAGUAAUCUCAGACUAAUAAAAAGGUCUUACUUCAAGUAAAAAGA
rnacentral:lncRNA from 1 species